UUUUUCUUUUUUUUUUUUUGGAGACAGAGUCUUGCACUGUCGCCCAGGCUGGAGUGCAAUGGCACAAUCUCGGCUCACUGCAACCUCCGCCUGAAGGGAGAUUUUCAAAGCAACAUUGCCUCUAUCAUAGGUAGUCUUCAAUGUAAUACUGGCACCAACAAGAGAACCGAGCUAAAUUAAAACUACCCUCAAAAUGUCAUCACAGCUGAUGUGCACAGCAGGAAGGACGAUGUCACAAAAUGCACAGAUCUGUUCCUAUUGCACAUUCCACCUUUCCCACGUACUGCUGGCAGCCCAGAAUAACCAAAAUCUUUUUAGAUGUCUGUCUUAAAGAGAGCUAUAAUAUGCAAACAUACACACACACACACACACACACCCCCACACACACACACAACCUCAAACCUGGUUUAUAAAAGAGCUUUGUGGAUCAGAGUACACCCUCACUUGGUCCAAGAAUCUAAUUGUCAACAUUAGGCAAAUAGACCCAAUGAAUGUAACCAGGAAGAGAAUUAACUGGUUGGCUGGAAUAUUGUAUUUGAUAUGAUAUGCUUAUUUGCAAACUAAUCUCCAACUGUUUGUCCAGUACUAAUUCAACUGACUCAUCUUCUAAAUGUAUAGGACAAAGCCUUUAAAAAGUUAAGCUCUUCAGCAACGAAAAGUUAACACCAUCUAAAAUAAAUAGAUUUUAAAAUAUAUGUAAUGAAAUUACAGGUCACUGGAAAUUCAAUUCUACAAUGAAUAUAAAUUAACAUUAAAAUCUAUUAAGUACUAUUCCUGGGAAGAUUUUGGUUCAGAGGUUUUAUUUUUUUAAGGGCUUAAUAUUUGGGAAUAAAUGGGCAUAGCUUAGAAACCCUUACAAAGUUGUAAGUAGACUAGAGGUAAGAUUAUUUGGUGACAAGAUACAAAGAUCUGUUUCUAUGUCCAAAAUAAUGGCUUACCUCAUUUUAGUUAAUAGAAGUAUUCCCAAAAAGUUGUGCAAAUAGGCUUUUUAUAACUGGACGCUUAUUUUAAGUAUACUAGAGGCCAUGGUUGUAAAGAAAACCUGUAGUCACUCCUCUAAUAAACUGAAGAACUCUAAGUGAUUAGCCCCUGUCCUACAUCUGCACAGUGGACGGCAUACUCCAGGCACUCAUAAGUGUUUGUUGAAUGCAUGAAUUCGCUCUGACAGUUUUUUUUUUCCCCUACAGGACUUUCUUAAAGUGAGGCACAUGCUAACUGAAAUGGUUCUGCCCGCUGUUACUGCAGAAAGAUGGAAUCCAGCUCACAGUUUAACUGAUGCCAUUACAAAAUAUCAGAUAAUUUCAGAGUGUUUUCAAUCAAAAUAAAAUUUCCAUAAGUAUGAGUGUAUGUAUUUUUGAGGAAUGUUGAUCUAUGAUUGGCAGAAGCUUUUAUUGUUAACUCACUCACUGAAAACAACUGCUUGAGCUGAAUUCUAUUUCAAUUAACAACCAAGGCAAGUAAAGCACUUUACCUAACUUCAGAAAUACCACCAGAAACCAUUCCACUUCUGUAACAGCUUCUUCCCCUCACUCCAGCACAAAUAUUUAAAUGCUGUCCUUACCUUAGUCCACAAAAGCAAAACAUGAAUUACAAAGCUAAGAUUAAAUUAGAAAGCUGCCGACUUAAAUAUGACAAAGUUUUUUUAGCCUUAAAAUAAGAACUAAGUCAAAUACAUUCAACAAAAGUAACUCUUAAAGGCAAAUUUUUUUCUUAUUUGGUGUUUUCUUCCCUUCCCAUUUAAAUUUAAGACUCAAUUUUUAAUAAUAUUCAUAUGUCCAUUUUUCUAAAUAAUAUAUCCUCUUUAAAACAAUACAGAAUGCCUAGCAGUGCAACCUAUGUGUCCACAUAAAUAUGCAACCUGCCACAUAAAUAAAAUAAGAGGUUUUAUCAGUCUAUUUAUCCAGCAUUUGUAACUGCAAAAAAGGCUGGAAAAAUAGCUAAGAAUAUUUUUAUGCAAGUUUUGGGGAGGACUGAACACUGGUAAGGAUUCACUGUAGGGCUCCAUCAUUAUAAGUUUCCUAAAAAGUAGUGUGCAAACAAAAUAUCUGAACACAGAACCCUAAACAUACUAGAUGUAUGUGUGGGUAUGGGUGAUGGAGAAGAGAGAAUGAAUAUGUUAAUAUGAAUGCUUGUCAAGGACACUGAUAAGAAAAAGAAAACCUCUCACUUAAGGUGCUAAUGAUAUGUCAAGGGACCUAAAU
rnacentral:lncRNA from 10 species